rnacentral:rRNA from 1 species
GGACCCGCACAAGUAGUGGAGCAUGUGGUUUAAUUCGAAGUACGCGCAGAACCUUACCAACACUUGACAUGUUCGUCGCGACUCUAAGAGAUUAGAGUUUUCGGUUCGGCCGGACGAAACACAGGUGCUGCAUGGCUGUCGUCAGCUCGUGUCGUGAGAUGUUGGGUUAAGUCCCGCAACGAGCGCAACCCUCACUUUUAGUUGCCAUCAUUAAGUUGGGCACUCUGAAAGAACUGCCAGUGAUAAGCUGGAGGAAGGUGGGGAUGACGUCAAGUCCUCAUGGCCCUUACGUGUUGGGCUACACACGUGCUACAAUGGUAUCUCAACAGGAAGCAAAAUCUGCGAAGUUAAG